rnacentral:lncRNA from 1 species
GGUUAUUCUAGUUAUAGACUGAGUAUCCCUUGCCCAAAAUGCUUGGGAUCAGAAGUAUUUGGGAUUUCUUUCAGAUUUUGGAAUAUUUGCAUAUACGUAAUGAGAUGUCUUAGGGAUGGUUCUCAAGACUAAAUGUGAAAUUUAUCUGUGUUUCAUAAACAUUUUAUACACAUAGCCUGAAGGUAAUUUUAUACAAUAUUUUAAACAAUUUUAUGCAUUAAAAUGGUUUUUUAAGUACUGUGUUUGGAAUUUUCCGCUUGUGUCAUAUUGGUGCUCAAAAAGUUUCCAAUUUUGGAGCGUUGCAAAUUUCAGAUUUUUGGAUUAGCAAUGCUCAACCUGUAUAGUAUUUGAUUAUUUGUUGCUAGUAAACUGGAUAUUGUGUUAAUAAAUAUAAUUUGUUAUUCUUGAUAUAUAGGAGAGCUGUUGAUUUAGUACGUUUCUAUCCAGUCAACACCUAAUUCUAAAGAUCUAAUUAUCAUUUAUUAACUUCUAUUUCUUAUUGCAUUUGUCAGUGCUUCCAGAAUGAUGCAAUAAUGAUGAUAGUUGGCUUGCUUGUUUUGUUCUUCCUUUUUUAAAAAAGUACUGACCCAUAGAGUUAUAGUCAAUACUAAUAUCCAUAUUAAAUACAAAGAUUAAUGUUCUUUAUUGCCCUGUGGAAGCUUUCUUCCCUUUAUUAUUUUCUAACAAGACUGUAUUUUAUUUUAUUGAAUGAUUUUCAGCUUCUGCAGAGAUGAUCUUAUACUUUUUUUGUUUUUGUUUUUGAGAUAGGGUCUCACUGUGUUGCCCAAGCUGGUCUUGAACUCCAGGGCUCAAGCGAUCCUCCCACCUCAGCC